CCCUGCUCCGUGGGGGAGCUGGCGCUGCGCCAGGCCGCGAACCCGCCGCAAGGGGCGCCCCGCCGUCGGCACCCAGCCGGAAACGACGUGCGCCCGCGGACCUCGUCCCAGAGGCCGGCGCGCAGCGAUGAGUCAGCCAGGCCAGUCGGCAAGCCGAGCCGUCCUCCGCGGCCGGCACUCCGCCUGAGACCCGGUUGCCAGGCACCCAUGGCCGGAGCCUAAGGCUACUGCUUCUGCCACUGUUGCUGCUCCACCUGCUGCUGGAGCCUGGUCACCCCUAUGGAAAGGAGCAGAGGUCCAGGUCACCUUGACAGAGAAGCAACUGGCUGCUGGGUACCAUGCCUUGCUGGCUACGGAGCCCAUUGCCAGAGCGGCUCCAACCAAGGUAAUAACCUCCUAUCCCAUUGCAGGGUGGGUGAGAGACUGGACCCAAAGGCCACAGAGUGGUGUGGCACAGACACCUACUGUAUACCGUGUGACUGGACAUUUGCCUUUGGCAUCCCCAGGGAAUAACGAAGCAGACACAUUGGCCCAGGUGCACUGGCUAGAAGGAAAGCCUCCUUCUCAUGUGGCCAAUAGCUACAUCAGUGUUUGUUGCACCUGGGGCAAAAGACAAUGUGGGCUGUAACCCAUCGGGGCUUUCCAUUGACCUUUGAAGAAGUCAGCCAAGCCCAGAAGGAAUUCCCUGCAUGUUUUGCAGAUCAGCAAACCACCAAGAGGGGCCUAGAGCAUCUCUUUGUAGCCAAUGGCAGGCCACAGGUGAUUAAGAGUAAUCAAAGCACCCACUUUAUUGGACAUGUGUUGCAAGGAUGGGUGCAGCAAUUAGGAAUAAAAUGGACGUGGCCUUGGACAUUUCAACACAUGGUUCAGUGAUGGCUGGCUCUCCUGGCACCUUGGGGAAAAGGCCUGGAAGCUGGCCUCCUGUGUAGUCCUGGAGUAAGAGCAAAGUGGCACCCCCAAAAUCACAGUUAUUUGCUUCUAUAGCCCUGUGUCCUGGAUGCAUUCCAUGGCUGCAGCUGCUGCAUGAUGGCUGGAAUGGAUGAACUUCGGACUUAAUCUGCAUGGGACUUUGAACCUAGCUGAAUCCUCUGGCUUCAGAAUUAUUAUUGUAUUGCUGUUGUCAAGAAAAAAAUGCCUAAAGAGAGGCUUGAUUUUGUCUAAUGUUCAGUAAAAGUUUUGAGUAAUCUAGCAUGGUUGUUAGGAAUGAGUAAACAAGUCUGGAAACAUAUUUUGUGCUUAGUGAGAGAUUGUGCUGUAAAGUACAUUUACUUAAUCUGCAUAGGAAUUAAUCCCCUGGCUUGAGGAUUAUCAUGAUUUUAUUGCUGUUGGCAUUGUAUGUCAUUAGUUUGGUCAGAAGAGGGGGAACGAGUAGAUUGUAAGGCGAAAUUUCUGGAGGGGUGGCCUGUGGGUAAAAUUGUAGUAUUUCUAGAAUAUCUCGCCUGGCUUUAUCCACCUGCAUAUCAAUAGGCAUUCAGAGGUGGAAAGAAGUAUGGUUUUAGCGUAUGUGCAUCAUUCCUCAGGGGAGGAGAAAGUUCAUCUCCAUAUCAGUGGGUAAUUACCUGGGCAACAGAGUGAGGGCUUAUCUGUACCUGAGAGGUGAGGGGUGGUGCCGGUUUUGCUUCUGUGGAGAAGGAAAGAGAGUAGGGCCCGCACUGCAGUUUGUGAGCAAUAAACGGGUUUUAAACUUUA